rnacentral:rRNA from 1 species
AACGAACGCUGGCGGCAUGCCUAACACAUGCAAGUCGAACGAAGGCUUCGGCCUUAGUGGCGCACGGGUGCGUAACGCGUGGGAAUCUGCCCUUAGGUUCGGAAUAACUCAGGGAAACUUGAGCUAAUACCGGAUGAUGUCGAAAGACCAAAGAUUUAUCGCCUUUGGAUGAGCCCGCGUAAGAUUAGCUAGUUGGUGGGGUAAUGGCCUACCAAGGCGACGAUCUUUAGCUGGUCUGAGAGGAUGAUCAGCCACACUGGGACUGAGACACGGCCCAGACUCCUACGGGAGGCAGCAGUGGGGAAUAUUGGACAAUGGGCGAAAGCCUGAUCCAGCAAUGCCGCGUGAGUGAUGAAGGCCUUAGGGUUGUAAAGCUCUUUUACCCGGGAUGAUAAUGACAGUACCGGGAGAAUAAGCUCCGGCUAACUCCGUGCCAGCCGCCGCGGUAAAAC